AGCAUAUAUCCUCGUGGACAGAAGGCAUGUGAGAGAAAGUUUUUCUCUCUCUUUUUGGCUCUGCUGGGUCUUCGUUGCUGUGUGCCGGUUUUCUCUAGUUGCUGCGAGCAGGGGCUUCUCUUCACUGGGGUGCGCGAGCUUCUCACUGCUGCAACUUCCUUUGUUGCAAAGCACGCCCCAGGUGCAGAGCUUCAGUAGUUGUGGCACCUGGGCUUAGCUGCUCCUCGGCAUGUGGAACCCUCUGGGAUCAAGGAAACCACAUCCACAAAGUCCCAGGCCCCAGAAGCAGGCACCCUCUGCCCAUUUCUGAAAUAAGCUCUCAGGCCUUGGUGGUAGCCUGAGCUGCUCCCAGGGUUGUGAGCUGCUGAAUCUUCUGGCUCAUCAUCUCUACGACAGCCUGUUUCACGGCAUGCUUCUCCUGCAGAGCUGGCUGGAUUUUUUCCAUUUGCUUGAAGAGUCAUCAAAGUUGAGUUAACCCUUGAAGAGAGGCAUUGAAACAUCCGUGAUGAUGGUUAAUACAGUCGAAGCCAGGACUGAAGACCAGACCUCAGAACCUCAGCAGGGUGCUCUAGGAAGAACCCAGCAUCACUACUGUGAAAUUCUUGCCUAAAGUGCAGCAACUUAAUCUAGUCAUGAGGAAAUAGCCAACAAAUCCGAGUGGAAGGAUGAUCUGCAAAGCAACUGGGACUCUGCUCUUCAAAAAUGCCAAUGUGAGAAAGAAAGAGCCAGAAAACAUCCCAGAUCACAGGAGACCAAAGGGACAAGAUGACGGAAUUCAAGCAUUGCAUUGUUUAAGAUAAAAUCUUAAUAAGAAUAUAAUCAAGAAAUGCAUAGAAAAAAAAAAAAAAAAAACCAUUCCAGCCAACAUAAGAGAGCAAUUAAAACUUCAGCCUCGACUUCCUAUCGCUCUACCUGAUGCUGAAAAUGGCUGCUUUCAAUACGGACCAGAUUUUGAAGCUGAAAAGUGCUGAAAGGCAUCAAAAUCUGCCACCCCCAAACCUCUUUGGCAUGUGGAUUAUUUUAAGAACAGCAGAUGCAGGGAAAACGGGGCAUACAGCUUUCUUUUGUAAAGAAAAUUUCCACGUAUAGAGAUGUUUCCUCUCCUGUAUCAGUAAGAGGAGGACUCAACUUUUACCGGUGGAGAAGGCACCAUAAUAAAUGCUACUAACAGCCCUCGUGUACCGCAUGUUUCCUGGUUAGUUUUGUUGCUGUUGUUGUGACCCCAUGGACUGCAGCCCAGCAGUCUCCCCGCUCCAUAGGAUUUCCCAGGUAAGAAUAAUGGUGUGGGUUGCCAUUUUCUACUCCAGGGGAAUCUUCCCGACUCAGGGAUCGAACCUGUGUCUCCGGUUAGGGAGGUGGAUUCUUUACCACUGAGCAACUUUGGAAGCCUAGUCUGCCUCACCAUAACUUGUCUCUCCUGCACAGAAGCCCAGGACCCCUUUUCCUUUGUUUGUCCUACAGGGGUUUAUAAGCCAAGUUCUCACCAUCCCUUUGGGUCGCUCCUCACUGG
ensembl:lncRNA